UUAAGCAAACAUUGUUGGUAAUUGAAUGUAUUUUCGUUCGUGUUUUUAUUGUAAUAGUGAAAACGUGCCUUAACUUUUGGAAUAUAAUAUUUUUAAAAGCCAAAACGUGUCUCGAAAUCCACUUGUACCUAUAAUGUACACUGUGUUUGAUUGCAAACAGCCUCAUUUUUCUACAUCGCGCGAAAGUGACGGGUGGUGAGGGUUGCAAUAUAUUCUUAAAAUUGGACAUUGACAAGACAAAUAAGUGAAAAAGGGAAAAGAAACCGCGCUACGAAAACGAUUAUAUUAAACCUCAUAAUUAUUCCCUUUAUUAUAUUUACCAAUCAGUCUAAAAAUGUCAAUGCAUCCACAUUUGAUAUGGUUUUGAAGAAAAUAGAACAUUUUUAAAGGAAGAUAUACGAAAAUUACGUCGACGUGUUAAAUGAUUAAAACAUUACAGAAUAUCAAAUUAUUGCUUCACCUGUAACUAAUUGAUUUAAAAAAAGAACAAUUUUAUGUCAUAGCUUCUAACCAUGGAUAUAAGGGUCAAGUUAUUUUUAUACAUCCUUUUUUCUACUUGCUCCGUGGAAUCACAGAGAUAUAUUAAGACAAAUCCUUUUGCUAUAACAGGAAAUCUUAAUCUAUGGAAGGAUUGCACUGACUUCCGUGGCACGACGGGGAUAUGUAUCCAGAGUGACGUCUGUCCAAGAACCAAAAUGAUGGAUGAUGACGAUGAAUGCUUUGAAUACGACAACGACUCCGUUUGCUGUCACAUUGUCCGUCUGAGAAUGCCCAAAGAUAUAUUCAUGAUGUACGGAAAUUAACAGUCCCGUUCCAUCAUAACUUUUUGUCGGCAAUAUUUUUGCGAAAUAUUUCUCCUGUCAUUCAAACGGACUGACACUUGAAUGUAAGUGAAAGAAGUAGUUUGGAAUCGAAACAGAUUAAACAUUAUUUCAUGUGACAUAAUUUCAUAUAUGUAUAAAGAAAUAAUCCAUAGAUUUAGUAUACAUUAAAACAAAAUAAUUUAAAAACUAAAAUACACACUAUUCUCCGCCAAAAUAUUUAUUUAAUACAUACUUUUUUAUAUUCGUAUAAUGAAGUUACCUCUUCAAUUUCUAUAUGAGUAGGUACCAUAAGAUAUUAUGAUUUGCGGAAUUUAGGUUUUUGUGGCUGACGAUAUUCUAUUCAAACUAAAUUUUUAUUCGGAUUUUUUCGUGAUUAUUGAAUCAAAUUUUCUAAGAAAAUAUACUUUAAAACCUCUUUUCUUCUUGAGUAAAUCUGCCUUUAUUAUGUUUCAUAAAAACACAACCUUACUGGAUAUAUUUUCGAGCUGUGCACUACACCAUUAUGUACCUUACUCGGUAAUAAAAUAUGUAAAUGUAAAGAAAAAGAAAAGUAAAAACAUUAAAUGAGACAUAGUUACAACUAUCUGUACACAAUCUUUUCCGCGUCCAAAUACUAAUGGUGAUUAAUAUUGUAAAUCAUUUUUCAUCUUAAAGGUUUAAGAUAAUUGGUAGAUAUAUAGGUUACAUAGGUAUAUAACCUAUAUAUCUACCAAUUAAAGUAUUUCAAACUUCAACUAACGUAUAUAUAUAGAUCAUCCGACUAUACCUGUAUCUAUGUUAAAUGAGUUACAUCUUUCAUUUCAUAGAGCAUUCAAAUUCUAGUUUGAUGAAUUCAUCAAUAUCCGAUAUUGCAAUUUCCUCACCUGCGCUCACUGAACCUUCCAAUUCGUUUCAUAUUGUCACUAACAUUCUAUGACAUUUAUAAACCAUUUUUCAAUACGGAAUCAGUUCUGAAACUGAGCAGGUGAUUGUACAAUACUGUCAUUUUGUUGACUCUCGCCACAAGCGAUUGCCAUCUAGGAAUCUAUUAAUUUUGUUCCAGUUUUCUAACCCCAAGUUUGCGUUGUCACGCUACGUACUGAACGUUAAUAGUUUUUAUUUAAAAAUCUUCACCAUGUUAGUAUAGGAAUUUGCUAUUGAAUGAGAAACGAAAAAAAAACGCUUCACGGGUAGUGUGACGGUGCAACCUACAAUAAGCAUACUGGUUUUAAUUGUGCAUUUAUAUAAUAAUUACUUACUUUACAAUAUAAAAGGUUCAGUAAAACACAAUUAUUCAAUAAUUUUCUUAACCAUUUUACGUUUGGUACAUGUAUAACCAGCAGAAGUAAACAGUCAAGAUUUGAAAGAAAUUUCUUUAAAUUAUCACAAUCAAGAGGAUCAAAAAAAGCAGUAUAAAGGAAAUAGAUAAACGGCGUAAUGAUCAUAACAUUGAAAUUAAUUGAUUGCAGAUGUUAUUUUAUAUAUUAUUGUAUUUAUUAAAUAGAGACGUAAUGGCCAUUUAAAAAUUUAUUACUUACCUUUGCCUCCGUUUAAAUUGUCCAAAAACCAAAAUUCUACUGACAAAGGCAGAACGGAAUCAAGAUUAAAUUGUAAAAUGAUAAAUGAAUUUUUUUUUUUGCAUAUUAAUCUAAAACCAAUCGACGUAUACUUUGGAAGUGUUCCAAUAUGAAAAAUAAAUGCCAAGCAAUAUUUAAAUCCUACAAAGUGAAGACAGAUGAAGAACAAAAUAAUCUCAUUUCAAUUUCCGCAUCGUUCCUCCGAAGAUCAAAAGGUGCACAAAGAUUCAAGCGAUUACACACAACACCUCACGUUCGGAUUGACGAUUUCGUAUUUUCGUGUAAAAAAUAAAACUCUCUGACUCUUAAAUCAUGAUAAUAUUUUGUCUAAUGGAUCCUGAAGUACAUAAUAUUUAAUAAAUAUAAAAUAAUAUCCUAAAAAU